rnacentral:rRNA from 1 species
UACGUAGGGUGCAAGCGUUGUCCGGAAUUAUUGGGCGUAAAGAGCUCGUAGGCGGUCUGUCGCGUCGGCUGUGAAAACCCGGGGCUCAACCCCGGGCCUGCAGUCGAUACGGGCAGACUAGAGUGCGGUAGGGGAGACUGGAAUUCCUGGUGUAGCGGUGAAAUGCGUAGAGAUCGGAAAGAACACCAACGGCGAAGGCGGGUCUCCGGGCAGUAACUGACGCUGAGGAGCGAAAGCGUGGGGAGCGAACAGG